UACGGGGGGGGCAAGCGUUGUUCGGAAUUACUGGGCGUAAAGCGCACGUAGGCGGAUCGUUAAGUCGGGGGUGAAAUCCUGGAGCUCAACUCCAGAACUGCCUUCGAUACUGGCGAUCUCGAGUUCGGGAGAGGUGAGUGGAACUGCGAGUGUAGAGGUGAAAUUCGUAGAUAUUCGCAAGAACACCAGUGGCGAAGGCGGCUCACUGGCCCGAUACUGACGCUGAGGUGCGAAAGCGUGGGGAGCAAACAGG
rnacentral:rRNA from 1 species